ACAUGCAAGUCGAGCGAAUGGAUUAAGAGCUUGCUCUUAUGAAGUUAGCGGCGGACGGGUGAGUAACACGUGGGUAACCUGCCCAUAAGACUGGGAUAACUCCGGGAAACCGGGGCUAAUACCGGAUAACAUUUUGAACCGCAUGGUUCGAAAUUGAAAGGCGGCUUCGGCUGUCACUUAUGGAUGGACCCGCGUCGCAUUAGCUAGUUGGUGAGGUAACGGCUCACCAAGGCAACGAUGCGUAGCCGACCUGAGAGGGUGAUCGGCCACACUGGGACUGAGACACGGCCCAGACUCCUACGGGAGGCAGCAGUAGGGAAUCUUCCGCAAUGGACGAAAGUCUGACGGAGCAACGCCGCGUGAGUGAUGAAGGCUUUCGGGUCGUAAAACUCUGUUGUUAGGGAAGAACAAGUGCUAGUUGAAUAAGCUGGCACCUUGACGGUACCUAACCAGAAAGCCACGGCUAACUACGUGCCA
rnacentral:rRNA from 1 species